AUUCCAUGAUGUGAGCAUUGUUGUAGAAGUCCCUUGUAUCUAUCUCAUAAUUCGAAUAAAGAUUUUUCUUUCUUUUAUGUAAAGCUUGUGAUUUGAUUUCUGAGUUG